UACGAAGGGUGCAAGCGUUAAUCGGAAUUACUGGGCGUAAAGCGUGCGUAGGUGGUUUGUUAAGUCUGCUGUGAAAGCCCUGGGCUCAACCUGGGAAUGGCGGUGGAUACUGACAAGCUAGAGUGCGGUAGAGGAGGGUGGAAUUCCCGGUGUAGCGGUGAAAUACGUAGAGAUCGGGAGGAACACCGAUGGCGAAGGCAGCACUCUGGGCCGGUACUGACGCUGAGGAGCGAAAGCGUGGGGAGCGAACAGG
rnacentral:rRNA from 1 species